GAUGAAGAUAGUUAAGGAAACUCUGGAAAAGGUGAUGCUGCAGAGGACAAGUCCAAGGAGAAUCUUCUGUCUUAUGUGGGGGCUGAUCUAGUGAUGCCUUCUUCCCCAGCACUAGAUGUCAUGCCACUACAGAUGGUUGCCCCUCCUAUCAAUAAGCUAUUGAUCAGCAGGAUGCAUCGACUCUGAUUGGACCAGUAUGUUCUUUGGUGCCAUACUCUAAUGAUGGGAGGAGGAUGAGGAUGUGGUGAUCCUGGAUGGACAGUUGCCAGCUGCUGGAUCCCACAAGAGCCACAGGAGGAGGGCUCACAAGUUGAAAGAGCCACUAGACGACAAGUUCUUGAGGCGCAGCAAAAGACUCAACCCAGCCCUGUAGGGAUUCCAUGACGCCGCAAGUAUGGAAGAGACUGAAAACUACCCUGAUAUCUAUCAUGGCACAUCUGAGCUGGUGCCUGGUGUCAAUCCAGCACCCCACCUUUCUUCCUCUAUCAUCCAUGGAAUUGCCACGGGCUUCCUUCAGAUUCAGCCUGCAACUGUCUCUGGUGCCAUCCUGGAGGAGUUAGAUGAUGAUGAUGUUGCCCCAAAUAUGUAAUAGGCAUACCGUCGAUGUUGUGCUUCUUUUGUUGGGUGGUUCCUGCCACCAUAACUUAUCUUUUAGGAGUCCCAACUGUUGCAUGAAUAAUAUUAGUUCCUUGCCCUUCGAGGCCCUUCAAUCAAUCUGGUUUGAAGUUUGCUA